rnacentral:rRNA from 1 species
UACGAAGGGGGCUAGCGUUGUUCGGAUUUACUGGGCGUAAAGCGCGUGUAGGCGGGUCGUUAAGUUAGGGGUGAAAUCCCAAGGCUCAACCUUGGAACUGCCUCUAAAACUGGCGACCUGGAGCAGAUGAGAGGCGAGUGGAAUUCCGAGUGUAGAGGUGAAAUUCGUAGAUAUUCGGAGGAACACCAGUGGCGAAGGCGACUCGCUGGCAUCUUGCUGACGCUGAGACGCGAAAGCGUGGGGAGCAAACAGG